rnacentral:rRNA from 1 species
GCUGACGAGUGGCGGACGGGUGAGUAAUGUCUGGGAAACUGCCUGAUGGAGGGGGAUAACUACUGGAAACGGUGGCUAAUACCGCAUAACGUCGCAAGACCAAAGAGGGGGACCUUCGGGCCUCUUGCCAUCAGAUGUGCCCAGAUGGGAUUAGCUGGUUGGUGAGGUAACGGCUCACCAAGGCGACGAUCCCUAGCUGGUCUGAGAGGAUGACCAGCCACACUGGAACUGAGACACGGUCCAGACUCCUACGGGAGGCAGCAGUGGGGAAUAUUGCACAAUGGGCGCAAGCCUGAUGCAGCCAUGCCGCGUGUAUGAAGAAGGCCUCGGGUUGUAAAGUACUUUCAGCGGGGAGGAAGGUGUUGUGGUUAAUAACCGCAGCAAUUGACGUUACCCGCAGAAGAAGCACCGGCUAACUCCGUGCCAGCAGCCGCGGUAAUACGGAGGGU